rnacentral:lncRNA from 1 species
CAUCCCUCCUCAACUUCUAGGUCGCCUCCCUCUGCCCGACAGCGACAGGGCAGGGGACCCAUCCCCAUUUGGGGUGUCUCACCCCGGUACCUCUCCUUCAGGCCCUGCAGGGAGUCGUUCCAGCAGUCUAUCUCCUGCUCGCACUCCCUGAUAGCCCUCAACCUCUCCACCUCCUCUUUGAGUUCUGCCACCAGGUGGACCAGGUCGUCCACCUGCUCGCACCUCACACACACGGUGCCUCUGCCUCCCUCAGAUGGCAGCAACAGGCUCAGACACUCCCUGCACCCAGAGACCUGAACUGCCGCAUUGUUGAGCAAGGCGGUCAGUCUGGGUGGCCACAGACUUUCUAGAGAGAGCGCUCUGCCUGGUGUACACCAUUGCAGCCUGGCUAGCGGUCGAUAGCCGUUAAAGAUGUUGUUCUUAUGGGCGGGGGGGAAGCUCUGCCCUCUCUGCCCUUCCUGCUCGCCCUGCCUGCGCUAACUGCCAGGCAAACUGCCGUGCCCCACCCUUCUGACGCACCACGCCCUGUUCGCCGCGCUCCUGGUCGCUCACGCUCCCUAGGGGCUGUUUUUGAACGGCCGGGGAGGGGGCGCUGCUGGCUCCACCUACGCCUCAUCAGCCUCCCUCGUGAGGGCUGCCGGGUCCUGGCAGAUCCCUCGAGUGGCCUCGAUGCUGGAAAAAAAGCCCUGCCUGUCCUGAUCCCCCGCUCCGCUGCAGAAUGUGUCUGCCCCAGAGCCGAUUGCCUCGGCAAGUCGACAAAUGGGAGCCUUAGUGCCCCUUAGCAAGGAGUCUCCUAUCUCUAAGACUCUCCGUUCUGUUUCUGUGGCACUGGUGGUGAUGCAGCGCCCCAUCUGGUCCUGAUCCCUAUGCUCAGUACUUCCCCCAAUGUUGACACGCUUCUCGGGGUUGAUUCCCGGGUUCGGACUACUGUCCAGACCCUCAAACUCUUCCUUUUCCUGCCUGAGAGCCUCAAAUCUAUUUCCCAAGGACACCAUGGGGGUUGGUGGCAUCGUGGGCGUCGGGGGGCAAACAUCUCCUUCUGCUGCGAGCUGUGACGAGGGUCCAGCCCCUUUCUUCUUGUGGGUGGUCAAGCCCUCUGUCCUGCAUGUGAUCAGCUGGGUCAGCUUCUACCGCUGGCAGCGUCUUAGGAGGGGGCUUCAGGGCAUCAGUAGAGGCAGGUUGACACCUCCUGUCUGUUACCCUCAGAGACUCCCAGGAGCCCCUCAGGCUGCCGAUUUCUCGCUGCAGCCCAGCCACCUGCUCAAGGAGUUCCUUAAGCAGGGCACA